rnacentral:rRNA from 1 species
UACAGAGGUCCCGAGCGUUGUUCGGAUUCAUUGGGCGUAAAGGGUGCGUAGGCGGCGAGGUAAGUCUGAUGUGAAAUCCCCGGGGCUCAACCCCGGAACUGCAUUGGAUACUGCCUUGCUUGAGUACUGGAGAGGGAACUGGAAUUUACGGUGUAGCAGUGAAAUGCGUAGAGAUCGUAAGGAAGCCAGUGGCGAAGGCGAGUUCCUGGACAGUUACUGACGCUGAGGCACGAAGGCCAGGGGAGCAAACGGG